GUCAGAUGAUUUGAAAUCAAUAAGCUGAUGAUCUGUGAGGUCCAGGAGUUAAUAGCAGAGUUCUGAUGGCA
ensembl:snoRNA SNORD28 Small nucleolar RNA SNORD28